rnacentral:rRNA from 1 species
UACGUAGGGUGCAAGCGUUGUCCGGAAUUAUUGGGCGUAAAGAGCUCGUAGGCGGCCUGUCACGUCGGCUGUGAAAACCCGGGGCUCAACCCCGGGCCUGCAGUCGAUACGGGCAGGCUAGAGUCCGGCAGGGGAGACUGGAAUUCCUGGUGUAGCGGUGAAAUGCGCAGAUAUCGGGAGGAACACCGAUGGCGAAGGCAGCACUCUGGGCCGGUACUGACGCUGAGGAGCGAAAGCGUGGGGAGCGAACAGG